UACGUAGGGCGCAAGCGUUGUCCGGAAUUAUUGGGCGUAAAGGGCUCGUAGGCGGUUUGUCGCGUCGGGAGUGAAAUCAUCUGGCUUAACUGGGUGCUUGCUUUCGAUACGGGCAGACUAGAGGUAUGCAGGGGAGAUCGGAAUUCCUGGUGUAGCGGUGAAAUGCGCAGAUAUCAGGAGGAACACCGGUGGCGAAGGCGGAUCUCUGGGCCUUACCUGACGCUCAGGCACGAAAGCUAGGGGAGCGAACAGG
rnacentral:rRNA from 1 species